GACGAACGCUGGCGGCGUGCUUAACACAUGCAAGUCGAACGGAAAGGCCCCUUUGGGGGUACUCGAGUGGCGAACGGGUGAGUAACACGUGAGUAACCUGCCCUUGACUUCGGGAUAACUUCAGGAAACUGGGGCUAAUACCGGCUAGGAAUCCUUGCUGCAUGGUGGGGGUUGGAAAGCUUCGGCGGUUUUGGAUGGACUCGCGGCUUAUCAGCUUGUUGGUGGGGUAGUGGCUUACCAAGGCUUUGACGGGUAGCCGGCCUGGGAGGGCGACCGGCCACAUUGGGACUGAGAUACGGCCCAGACGCCUACGGGAGGCAGCAGUGGGGAAUAUUGCACAAUGGGCGGAAGCCUGAUGCAGCAACGCCGCGGGCGGGAUGACGGCCUUCGGGUUGUAAACCGCUUUCAGCAGGGGCGAAGCUUGUGGUGACGGUACCUGCAGAAGAAGCACCGGCUAACUACGUG
rnacentral:rRNA from 1 species